AGUGAACGCUGGCGGUAGGCCUAACACAUGCAAGUCGAACGGCAGCACAGUAAGAGCUUGCUCUUACGGGUGGCGAGUGGCGGACGGGUGAGGAAUACAACGGACUCUACUUUUUCGUGGGGGAUAACGUAGGGAAACCUACGCUAAUACCGCAUACGACCUACGGGUGAAAGCAGGGGAUCUUCGGACCUUGCGCGAUUGAAUGAGCCGAUGUCGGAUUAGCUAGUUGGCGGGGUAAACGCCCACCAAGGCGACGAUCCGUAGCUGGUCUGAGAGGAUGAUCAGCCACACUGGAACUGAGACACGGUCCAGACUCCUACGGGAGGCGGCAGUGGGGAAUAUUGGACAAUGGGCGCAAGCCUGAUCCAGCCAGACCGCGUGGGUGAAGAAGGCCUUCGGGUUGUAAAGCCCUUUUGUUGGGAAAGAAAAGCAGCAGGUUAAUACCCCGCUGUUCUGACGGUACCCAAAGAAUAAGCACCGGCUAACUUCGUG
rnacentral:rRNA from 1 species